GGGCGGUUCGCCGCUGACGACGUCGCGAGAAGUCCACUGAACCUUAUCAUUUAGAGGAAGGAGAAGUCGUAACAAGGUUUCCGUAGGUGAACCUGCGGAAGGAUCAUUGUCGAAACUUCGCACAGCAGAACGACCCGCGAACGCGUUUACCAACCGCGAAAGGUGCCCUAUGGCCCCUGACGCACGGCCUCGUGGGGUGCCACGCUCCUCACGGGUGCUGAAAAAACAAUCCCCGGCGCGGAAAGCGCCAAGGAAAACGAACAAAAGAGUGAGAUCGCGCUCAUCGCCCCGCGGAGACAGCGGGUGCAUGGGAGGAAUCUCUCCUUUCGAUACCAAAACGACUCUCGGCAACGGAUAUCUCGGCUCUCGCAUCGAUGAAGAACGUAGCGAAAUGCGAUACUUGGUGUGAAUUGCAGAAUCCCGUGAACCAUCGAGUCUUUGAACGCAAGUUGCGCCCAAAGCCUUCGGGCUGAGGGCACGUCUGCCUGGGUGUCACGCAACGUCGCUCCACCCACCCCAUUUGUGGGUCUUAUGAGCGGAAAAUGGCCUCCCACGAGCUAAGAACUCGUGGUUGGCCCAAACACGAGUCCAAGUCGGCGAGUGCCGUGGCAUUUGGUGGUUGAAAAUCGCUAUGGAUAGCUGCCCACAUUUGGCCGGGCCAACAAGGAUUUCGAGGACCUUUCUUGCUUCUGACGCGACCCCAGGUCAGGCGGGAUUGCACGCUG
rnacentral:rRNA from 1 species